AAUUUUUUCUUGUUAUCUUUCUACUCAUGUACAUGAUAUUAUUUAUUUAUAAAUUAUAUGAGAUAUUGUGUUUCAUCAUAUGCUGUAUAUAUCUUAUUAUCUCAUUCAUUACCUCAUAGAUUAUGACUUAGUUAAGAGAGUUAGGAGUAUGUGUCACAUACUCCUAGCUCUCUUCUAAUCAUGCUAAAUUUUUUCUUACUUAAGAGUUUGGUAA
rnacentral:lncRNA from 1 species